GGGGUUUCACCCUGUUAACCAGGAUGGUCUCAAUCUCCUGACCUCAUGAUCCACCCGCCUCGGCCUCCCAAAGUACUGGGAUUACAGGCAUGGGCCACUGGCCUCUUAUUUGUCUUUAUCCCCAAGGCCAACCAUGGAGGCUGGCACUGCACAGAUGCAUAAUGUCUGUGAAAUGGAUUGGCUAUGUAAAUACAGAGCAGGGAGCAUAAAAGAGAACUGGAAGGCUUCUAACGGGAAGACAAAGGACUUGUGGAACUGAUGAAAAAGAACAGCUUAAGAAGAGCAGCGCUUCUAGAGAGAAAAUAUCGAGUCCAGUUCUGAACGUCUUGGAAUGAUGGAAAGAUAAACAAGUGAAGAUAUCCAAUAGGGAUGUGGAACAAGAAAACUGUCACAAAGGUUCUUUUAAGGACCAAAACAUAGUCUUGCAAGUCUUUGUGACAGAAGUGCUAACUGAAACUAUCAGAGUGAAUUGACUCACCAACUAAAACAAUGCAGAGAGAGAGAGAGGAGAGCAAGAGAGAGAGAGAAAUGAAGGGACAGCAUCUUGGCGUAUACCUAUAGUUAAGGGGGUUGAGGAAGGCAAGGAGACAGCACAGAGAUCUAGAAGAAAUUCAGAAGAUCGCUGUAGCAACACUGAAGUCAAGGGAAUCGUUCUCCGGUCUGUGCCCGUGAGUAGGUGUCUGUGAUAACUGCUUUGUAACAGUACAGAUUAUAAAUAAAAGUCUGUGGGCAGCAACAGAAAAACAACACAUACAUUUUCAGUGCGACUGGGUCUGUCUGGCCCUGCCCACCAGUGGUUUGGGGAUCUACUUCGUUCCGACUAGAGAGCACCCACUCAAAAUUUCCUCUGGAUGGCAACCCAGCACAACACGUCUUCCACCUCUUCACACUGACUCCUCCUCGCCUCCUCUCUCCUCCAAACAUAGGCUGGGUGAUUACACCCUCUUUGUGUCAAAACAGCACACUUGAAAUCAUUUUAUGGCACCCACAUUGUUCCAUUUUAAUCUUUAAGAUUUUGUAAGGUGAAAUGGUCUUUGCAAUUGUUAUCCUGUGUUAAUUUUCUUUUUCUUAUUGACACCACAAAAUUCCUCUCUUCUAGUUUGUUUUUGCUCUGUUAGUAAAACCAGCAUUUCCCAACUGGCGAACUAGACUUCUUCAGGGGUAAGGUGGGGAAUGUUAUUGCAACUCACUACAUCUCUCUGGUAAUAUCUUCCUUGUCUAUCCCUUAAGCUUACCACAGACCACUAGGAAUUGCUUAGGUGCACGGUGGCAUUUAGCACUAGAGACCACUAACUUUUGACCUCGAAGAGCACUUAAGAUACUAAAUUCAUUAAAAAUUUAGUAAUAACACUACAAAUAUUCUGUGUGACCACUAUUUUUACCUUUCUGUAAAUCAAAUUUAUUAAAGAUGACCUUCCUCAGGUCAAUUACUCAUUUUAUUUGUUUAGAAAUUGUGAGAUAUACAUUCCUAUGGAAAAGUGAAUAAAACAUAUAUGUACAGUUUAUUUAAAGAAUAAUUAUAAAGCGAACACUCAGGUCCAUAAAUAAAACAUUCUCCGCAUCCCAGGAGCCCCACCAUGUGCCCCUCCCUGAUCAUAUCUCCUUUCUUACCCUAGAGAGGAACAUUUGUGAUAAUCAUUUCUUAGCUUUUCUGUAUAGUUUUACUACUUAUGACUGUUAUUUUAAACAAUAUAGUAGAGUUCUGCCCGUUUUUGAACUUUAUGUAAGUGGAAAUAUUCUGUAUUCAUUGGUUGUCUCAGUAUGGCAAUUCACCAUGUUAUUGUAAAUAAUCGUUUGUUUCUCUUUGUUGCUGUAUUAUAUUUCACAGUAUGACUAUACCAUAAUUUAUCCAUUCUAUUGUUGAUACAAGUUUGAGUUGCAUAAUGGUUUCAGCUAUUAAAAAAAUGCAUAUGUACAGGAAAUUCUGUAGAGUUGCUGAGUCACAGUGAAUGUGUAUCUUCAAUCUUACUAGAUAAUUCAAUCUUACUAGAUAAUGCCACACUGUUUUCCCUGAUUGUAUCAACUUAUGCUACCACAGUGUAUGAGGAUAUUCCUUGCUUCUUCCUUAAAACUUGUUUCUGUCAGACUUUUAAAUUAUUUUUUGAUCUGCUGGGUGUCUAAUAGUACUGCAUUGUUAUUUUCAUGUUCCUUUCUAUAGUUACUAAUGGGAAUGUUGGUCCUUUCAUGUAUUAGUCAUUUGCAUUUGGUGCUGUGCCUAUUUAAGCUUUUUGCCCAUUUUCAAAAUGGGCAAGUCUAUUUCUUAUUGAUUUGUGUUAUUUGUAUAUUCUGGAUACUAAUCCUUUUU
rnacentral:lncRNA from 10 species